GUGACCUCAAAUCAGGUAGGACUACCCGCUGAACUUAAGCAUAUCAAUAAGCGGAGGAAAAGAAACUAACAAGGAUUCCCCUAGUAACUGCGAGUGAAGCGGGAAAAGCUCAAAUUUAAAAUCUGACAGUCUUUGGCUGUCCGAGUUGUAAUCUAGAGAAGUGUUAUCCGCGCUGGACCGUGUACAAGUCUCCUGGAAUGGAGCGUCAUAGAGGGUGAGAAUCCCGUCUUUGACACGGACUACCAGGGCUUUGUGAUGCGCUCUCAAAGAGUCGAGUUGUUUGGGAAUGCAGCUCAAAAUGGGUGGUAAAUUCCAUCUAAAGCUAAAUAUUGGCGAGAGACCGAUAGCGAACAAGUACCGUGAGGGAAAGAUGAAAAGAACUUUGGAAAGAGAGUUAAACAGUACGUGAAAUUGCUGAAAGGGAAACGCUUGAAGUCAGUCGCGUUGUCCAGGGAUCAACCUUGCUUUUGCUUGGUGCACUUUCUGGUUGACGGGUCAGCAUCAAUUUUGACCAUUGGAAAAAGAUUAAGGGAAUGUGGCAUCUUUGGAUGUGUUAUAGCCCUUGGUUGCAUACGAUGGUUGGGAUUGAGGAACUCAGCACGCCGCAAGGCCGGGUUUAACCACGUACGUGCUAGAUGCUG
rnacentral:rRNA from 1 species